rnacentral:rRNA from 1 species
AUUGAACGCUGGCGGCAGGCCUAACACAUGCAAGUCGAACGAGUGGCGGACGGGUGAGUAAUGUCUGGGAAACUGCCUGAUGGAGGGGGAUAACUACUGGAAACGGUCGCUACUACCGCAUACCAUCGGAUGUGCCCCGAUGGGAUUAGCUAGUAGGUGGGGUAACGGCUCACCUAGGCGACGAUCCCUAGCUGGUCUGAGCGGAUGACCAGCCAAAGUGGAAAUGAGACACGGUCCAGACUCCUACGGGAGGCAGCAGUGGGGAAUAGUGCACAAUGGGGGCGAGCCUGAUGCAGCCAUGCCGCGUGUAUGAAGAAGGCCUUCGGGUUGUAAAGGACUUUCAGCGGGGAGGCGUUACCCGCAGAAGAAGCACCGGCUAACUCCGUGCCAGCAGCCGCGGUAAUAC